rnacentral:tRNA from 3 species
GGGCUAGUGGCGGAAUGGUAUACGCACGACACUUAAAAUGUCGCGGUCGAAAGGCCAUGUGGGUUCGACUCCCGCCUAGCCCACAA